AGAAGCAGAGGGGGCUGUGGACGGUGGUGGUCCAACUAGAGAGUACCUCAGACUGCUCCUUAAGGCUGUCCAACAGUCUAGCAUAUUUGCGGGCCCUGAAAAUAGUACGAGGUUGCGGCUUGACAGUGAAGCUUUGCAUAAAGGUCUCUACAGGCAGAUAUCUCAGAUGAUAUCAGUUUGUAUAAUUCAUGGAGGAAUGGGGCCACAUUUCUUUUCAGAAAAGCUCUUUCUCCAGGUUUGUGGUAAACCCAGCGGUCCUGCUACCUUGGAUGAAGUAGAUGAUGAGACCUUUAAAGAAAUGCUUUGCAAAAUAAAAGAAGCUGAAACUGUUCCAGACGCCAAAGCUGCCAUUGAAAUGGCAGAAGAUUGCCUGUCCAUAAUUUGAGCCUUUAGAUCCAUUAGUACUCUUAAGCAGCGGGACAUGCUGGUACAGUCAGCUGUGGAGUAUUAUGUUGAUG